AUGUUCACUUUGGCAGCACGUAUACUAAAAUUGGAACAACACGGAGAAGUUUAGCUUGGCCCCUGCACAAGGAUGACACACAAAUUCAUGAAGCAUUCCAUAUUAUG
rnacentral:snRNA from 1 species